rnacentral:tRNA from 1 species
GCUAUGGUGGCUCAGUUGGUUGGAGCAUUUUCCCAUACACUGAAAUGUCAAGGGUUCAAUUCCCUGUCAGAGCA